rnacentral:rRNA from 1 species
CCCUUAGAUGUUCUGGGCCGCACGCGCGCUACACUGACGAAGUCAGCGAGCAUGUCCUACGCCGACAGGUGCGGGGAAUCUUGUCGAACUUCGUCGUGAUGGGGAUUGAUUAUUGAAAUUCUUGAUCAUCAACGAGGAAUUCCUAGUAAGCGCAAGUCAGCAGCUUGCGUUGAUUACGUCCCUGCCCUUUGUACACACCGCCCGUCGCUACUACCGAUUGAAUGGUUUAGUGAGAUCUUCGGAUUGGCGCCACUGCGGCUCAGCAAUGGGCUCGGUGGAUGCCGAAAAGUUGAUCAAACUUGAUCAUUUAGAGGAAGUAAAAGUCGUAACA